ensembl:lncRNA
GUCUCAGUUCUCAAGAAAAAAGUUGUCAGGUAUCAGACAAAAAAUUGUCAGGUCUCAGUUGUCAAGAAAAAAGUUGUCAGGUAUCAGACCAAAAAAUUGUCUGGUCACAGUUCUCAAGAAAAAAGUUGUCAGGUAUCAGACAAAAAAAUGUCAGGUCUCAGUUCUCAAGAAAAAAGUUGUCAGGUAUCAGACAAAAAAAUGUCAGGUCUCAGUUCUCAAGAAAAAAGUUGUCAGUUAUCAGACAAAAAUUGUCUGGUCACAGUUCUCAAGAAAAAAGUUGUCAGGUAUCAGAGAAAAAAAUGUCAGGUCUCAGUUGUCAAGAAAAAAGUUGUCAGUUAUCAGACAAAAAAUUGUCAGGUCUCAGUUCUCAAGAAAAAAGUUGUCAGGUAUCAGAACACAAGGUACCAGAGAGAAAAUCUUCCUGCAGGUGGCGGUGUUGUCAUGUCCCACCCUGUGUUGCCAACUUAGCGAAUUUGUCGCUAUAUUUAGCGAGUUUUCAG